AAUUGUAUGAUGAAAGAAAUCAUUCGGAUUCCCACUGAAUAUUAAUUUUGAUUAUGAAAAGUAUUCUGACUUUU